rnacentral:rRNA from 1 species
GAGUUUGAUCAUGGCUCAGGAUGAACGCUGGCGGCGUGCUUAACACAUGCAAGUCGAACGAACCUUCGGGUUAGUGGCGGACGGGUGAGUAACGCGUGGGAAUCUGCCCUCAGGAGGGGGAUAACGGUUGGAAACGACCGCUAAUACCCCAUAUGCCGAGAGGUGAAAUGAAUUUCGCCUGAGGAUGAGCCCGCGUCUGAUUAGCUUGUUGGUGAGGUAAUGGCUCACCAAGGCUUCGAUCAGUAGCUGGUCUGAGAGGAUGAUCAGCCACACUGGGACUGAGACACGGCCCAGACUCCUACGGGAGGCAGCAGUGGGGAAUUUUCCGCAAUGGGCGAAAGCCUGACGGAGCAACGCCGCGUGAGGGAUGAAGGCCUCUGGGCUGUAAACCUCUUUUCUCAAGGAAGAAGAUAUGACGGUACUUGAGGAAUAAGCCACGGCUAAUUCCGUGCCAGCAGCCGCGGUAAUACGGGAGUGGCAAGCGUUAUCCGGAAUUAUUGGGCGUAAAGCGUCCGCAGGCGGCCUUUCAAGUCUGCUGUUAAAAAGUGGAGCUCAACUCCAUCAUGGCAGUGGAAACUGAUUGGCUUGAGUAUGGUAGGGGCAGAGGGAAUUCCCGGUGUAGCGGUGAAAUGCGUAGAUAUCGGGAAGAACACCAGUGGCGAAGGCGCUCUGCUGGGCCAUUACUGACGCUCAUGGACGAAAGCCAGGGGAGCGAAAGGGAUUAGAUACCCCUGUAGUCCUGGCCGUAAACGAUGAACACUAGGUGUCGGGGGAAUCGACCCCUUCGGUGGCGUAGCUAACGCGUUAAGUGUUCCGCCUGGGGAGUACGCACGCAAGUGUGAAACUCAAAGGAAUUGACGGGGGCCCGCACAAGCGGUGGAGUAUGUGGUUUAAUUCGAUGCAACGCGAAGAACCUUACCAGGAUUUGACAUCCUGCGAACCUUUAAGAAAUUAGAGGGUGCCUUCGGGAACGCAGUGACAGGUGGUGCAUGGCUGUCGUCAGCUCGUGUCGUGAGAUGUUGGGUUAAGUCCCGCAGCGAGCGCAACCCACGUUUUUAGUUGCCAGCAUUUAGUUGGGCACUUUAGAAAGACCGCCGGUGAUAAACCGGAGGAAGGUGUGGAUGACGUCAAGUCAUCAUGCCCCUUACAUCCUGGGCUACACACGUACUACAAUGCUACGGACAAAGGGCAGCAAACUCGCGAGAGCUAGCAAAUCCCAUAAACCGUGGCUCAGUUCAGAUCGUAGGCUGCAACUCGCCUACGUGAAGUAGGAAUCGCUAGUAAUCGCAGGUCAGCAUACUGCGGUGAAUACGUUCCCGGGCCUUGUACACACCGCCCGUCACACCAUGGAAGUUGGCCAUGCCCGAAGUCGUUACUUUAACCCUUGUGGAGAAGGACGCCGAAGGUGGGGCUGAUGACUGGGGUGAAGUCGUAACAAGGUAACC